GAAUGCUGACAUAAGUAACGAUAAAGCGGGUGAAAAGCCCGCUCGCCGGAAGACCAAGGGUUCCUGUCCAACGUUAAUCGGGGCAGGGUGAGUCGACCCCUAAGGCGAGGCCGAAAGGCGUAGUCGAUGGGAAACGGGUUAAUAUUCCCGUACUUGGUGUUACUGCGAAGGGGGGACGGAGAAGGCUAUGUUGGCCGGGCGACGGUUGUCCCGGUUUAAGCGUGUAGGUGUGUGUUCCAGGUAAAUCCGGUUCACUUUAACACUGAGGCGUGAUGACGAGGCACUACGGUGCUGAAGCAACAAAUGCCCUGCUUCCAGGAAAAGCCUCUAAGCAUCAGGUAACAUCAAAUCGUACCCCAAACCGACACAGGUGGUCAGGUAGAGAAUACCAAGGCGCUUGAGAGAACUCGGGUGAAGGAACUAGGCAAAAUGGUGCCGUAACUUCGGGAGAAGGCACGCUGACACGUAGGUGAAGUGAUUUACUCACGGAGCUGAAGUCAGUCGAAGAUACCAGCUGGCUGCAACUGUUUAUUAAAAACACAGCACUGUGCAAACACGAAAGUGGACGUAUACGGUGUGACGCCUGCCCGGUGCCGGAAGGUUAAUUGAUGGGGUCAGCGCAAGCGAAGCUCCUGAUCGAAGCCCCGGUAAACGGCGGCCGUAACUAUAACGGUCCUAAGGUAGCGAAAUUCCUUGUCGGGUAAGUUCCGACCUGCACGAAUGGCGUAAUGAUGGCCAGGCUGUCUCCACCCGAGACUCAGUGAAAUUGAACUCGCUGUGAAGAUGCAGUGUACCCGCGGCAAGACGGAAAGACCCCGUGAACCUUUACUAUAGCUUGACACUGAACAUUGAGCCUUGAUGUGUAGGAUAGGUGGGAGGCUUUGAAGUGUGGACGCCAGUCUGCAUGGAGCCGACCUUGAAAUACCACCCUUUAAUGUUUGAUGUUCUAACGUGGACCCGUAAUCCGGGUUGCGGACAGUGUCUGGUGGGUAGUUUGACUGGGGCGGUCUCCUCCUAAAGAGUAACGGAGGAGCACGAAGGUUGGCUAAUCCUGGUCGGACAUCAGGAGGUUAGUGCAAUGGCAUAAGCCAGCUUGACUGCGAGCGUGACGGCGCGAGCAGGUGCGAAAGCAGGUCAUAGUGAUCCGGUGGUUCUGAAUGGAAGGGCCAUCGCUCAACGGAUAAAAGGUACUCCGGGGAUAACAGGCUGAUACCGCCCAAGAGUUCAUAUCGACGGCGGUGUUUGGCACCUCGAUGUCGGCUCAUCACAUCCUGGGGCUGAAGUAGGUCCCAAGGGUAUGGCUGUUCGCCAUUUAAAGUGGUACGCGAGCUGGGUUUAGAACGUCGUGAGACAGUUCGGUCCCUAUCUGCCGUGGGCGCUGGAGAACUGAGGGGGGCUGCUCCUAGUACGAGAGGACCGGAGUGGACGCAUCACUGGUGUUCGGGUUGUCAUGCCAAUGGCACUGCCCGGUAGCUAAAUGCGGAAGAGAUAAGUGCUGAAAGCAUCUAAGCACGAAACUUGCCCCGAGAUGAGUUCUCCCUGAGACUUAGAGUCUCCUGAAGGAACGUUGAAGA
rnacentral:rRNA from 1 species